rnacentral:rRNA from 1 species
AGGAAUAUUGGUCAAUGGGCGAGAGCCUGAACCAGCCAAGUAGCGUGAAGGAUGACUGCCCUAUGGGUUGUAAACUUCUUUUAUAAAGGAAUAAAGUCGGGUAUGUAUACCCGUUUGCAUGUACUUUAUGAAUAAGGAUCGGCUAACUCCGUGCCAGCAGCCGCGGUAAUACGGAGGAUCCGAGCGUUAUCCGGAUUUAUUGGGUUUAAAGGGAGCGUAGAUGGAUGUUUAAGUCAGUUGUGAAAGUUUGCGGCUCAACCGUAAAAUUGCAGUUGAUACUGGAUAUCUUGAGUGCAGUUGAGGCAGGCGGAAUUCGUGGUGUAGCGGUGAAAUGCUUAGAUAUCACGAAGAACUCCGAUUGCGAAGGCAGCCUGCUAAGCUGCAACUGACAUUGAGGCUCGAAAGUGUGGGUAUCAAACAGGAUUAGAUACCCUGGUAGUCCACACGGUAAACGAUGGAUACUCGCUGUUGGCGAUAGACUGUCAGCGGCUUAGCGAAAGCGUUAAGUAUCCCACCUGGGGAGUACGCCGGCAACGGUGAAACUCAAAGGAAUUGACGGGGGCCCGCACAAGCGGAGGAACAUGUGGUUUAAUUCGAUGAUACGCGAGGAACCUUACCCGGGCUUGAAUUGCAGACGAAUUGCUUGGAAACAGGCAAGCCGCAAGGCGUCUGUGAAGGUGCUGCAUGGUUGUCGUCAGCUCGUGCCGUGAGGUGUCGGCUUAAGUGCCAUAACGAGCGCAACCCUCGUGUCCAGUUACUAGCAGGUUAUGCUGAGGACUCUGGACAGACUGCCAUCGUAAGAUGUGAGGAAGGUGGGGAUGACGUCAAAUCAGCACGGCCCUUACGUCCGGGGCUACACACGUGUUACAAUGGGGGGUACAGCAGGCAGCUACCGGGCGACCGGAUGCCAAUCCCGAAAGCCUCUCUCAGUUCGGACUGGAGUCUGCAACCCGACUCCACGAAGCUGGAUUCGCUAGUAAUCGCGCAUCAGCCACGGCGCGGUGAAUACGUUCCCG